CGUGACGUAUUCAGUCGUCGUCACAAAACCCAGAAAAAACAAAGAUGAUGACGACGAUGAAUCCUCACUUCAACCUGUUUACUCUACUUUGAUGAUGAGUAAAACUCCACAUGAUCUCCAACAGGAAUCCGGAUUAUUAAACUCUGCAGCGACUCCGAGGUCCACAGCAGCCGAACACUCAGAGCAGGAUCUUCUCUACGCUCCGGUCCUGAAGAAGAGAUGAAGGUUUGCAGGACACCGAGGCCUUGAAGACGCCGACCUGGAGUGACGACAUCUCUAGUCAACUGAAUGACUUGAGGCUGAGCUCUACAAUUUCUUUUAUUUGCUAAACUGUUGAAACACACAUCUGUGGUUUCACUUACUUCACUCAGUGACCCAGUUAGAGGCCACAUAGAGCAGAGACAGCUGACUGAAGAAGACUCCGUGUUAAUGUGUGAAAGAGAAGAAGAAACAUUAAUAAUGUUGAAUGUGAGGCUUUGUGUUCAAUUUAUUUGUGUUUUUUUUUUAACUCAGCAACAAAAGCAUGUUAUCCAAUAAUCAUCCAGCAGCUACAUGAAACCUUUCAUAUCUCAACAUGUUGUAUUUGUGUCUUCUGUUCACUCUGUAACAAAACACAAGUCAUUAACUUAUAAAUAUAGCUACACUUUCCAUUUACACUUGCACUUUGUGAAGCUUUAAACUGAAUUCAAAACAAAAGAUGGCAGAUUUUGUAUAUUAGAAAUAAAGAGAGUAUAGUGUUUGUGCAUUUAUUAGUCCUGUUUUAACUGUUCAUCUGGACGAUGUGAUCAGUCAGUACAGCAGCAACAGUUUACUUUUAUUGCGGUGUAACAGUGAAACCUCGUCGUUCUAUCUGCUCUGUUCACACGUCUGUUUAUCAGAAGCAGCUUUUUCAUGCCCUCACUGUGGUCGACCACCAGCAUGAUGCUGUCACAUCAG